UUCUACCAAGAUCCCAGAACAAUGUGCCAAAGACAAGUGCUAGGAUGACUGUGAAGAUGAAUCUAACUGCCGUGUAAGAUGGAUUACGCCAGUAUGACAAAUGUUGCUUCCAGAGACAUGCCAUACAUUGAGUCCAGAAAGGCUGUGAAAAUUGAGUUUCAAAAUGCAGAUUCUUUGUACCAGGACGAGGCGUACUUAAUUCAGCAAUUAAGGCUUUGUUCCUCUUGUAGAGGUCUGAUUUCUUG